rnacentral:rRNA from 1 species
UACGUAGGGUGCGAGCGUUGUCCGGAAUUACUGGGCGUAAAGAGCUCGUAGGUGGUUUGUCGCGUUGUUCGUGAAAACCGGGGGCUUAACCCUCGGCGUGCGGGCGAUACGGGCAGACUUGAGUACUGCAGGGGAGACUGGAAUUCCUGGUGUAGCGGUGAAAUGCGCAGAUAUCAGGAGGAACACCGGUGGCGAAGGCGGAUCUCUGGGCCUUACCUGACGCUCAGGCGCGAAAGCUAGGGGAGCGAACUGG